UACGGAGGAUGCGAGCGUUAUCCGGAUUUAUUGGGUUUAAAGGGUGCGUAGGCGGCCCGGACAGUCAGUGGUGAAAGUUUGUCGCUCAACGAUAAAAUUGCCAUUGAAACUAUCGGGCUUGAGUAUAUUUGAAGUAGGCGGAAUUCGUAGUGUAGCGGUGAAAUGCAUAGAUAUUACGAGGAACUCCGAUUGCGCAGGCAGCUUACUAAACUAUAACUGACGCUGAGGCACGAAAGUGUGGGUAUCAAACAGG
rnacentral:rRNA from 1 species